rnacentral:rRNA from 1 species
GCAACUCGCCUGUAUGAAGUCGGAAUUGCUAGUAAUCGCGGAUCAGCAUGCCGCGAUGAAUACGUUCCCGGGCCUUGUACACACCGCCCGUCACACCAUGAGAGCCGGUAACACCCGAAGUCAGUAGCUUAACCGCAAGGGGGGCGCUGCCGAAGGUGGGAUUGGUAAUUGGGGUGAAGUCGUAACAAGGUACC